UGACGAAGGGGGGCUAGCGUUGCUCGGAAUCAAGCUGGGCGUAAAGCGCACGUAGGCGGACUACUUCAAGUCAGGGGCGAAAUCCUGGAGCUCAACUCCAGAACUGCCUUUGAUACUGGGAGCCUUGAGUUCGAGAGAGGUGAGUGGAACUCGCGAGUGUAGAGGUAGAAAUUCGUAGAUAUUCGCAAGAACACCCGUGGCGAAGGCGGGUUCUCUGGGCAGUAACUGACGCUGAGGAGCGAAA
rnacentral:rRNA from 1 species